rnacentral:rRNA from 1 species
CAGGGAAUAUUGCGCAAUGGGCGAAAGCCUGACGCAGCGACACCGCGUGGGGGAAGAAGGCUUUAGGGUUGUAAACCCCUUUUCUCGAGGAAGAGAGAGGACGGUACUCGAGGAAUAAGGUUCGGCUAACUACGUGCCAGCAGCCGCGGUAAUACGUAGGAACCGAGCGUUGUCCGAAUUUACUGGGCGUAAAGGGCGAGUAGGCGGCUUGCCAAGUCUCAUGUGAAAUCUCCCGGCUCAACUGGGAGGGGUCAUGGGAAACUGGCAGGCUUGAGGGCAGCAGAGGAAAGUGGAAUUCCCGGAGUAGUGGUGGAAUGCGUAGAUACCGGGAGGAACACCAGUGGCGAAGGCGGCUUUCUGGGCUGUACCUGACGCUGAGGCGCGAAAGCGUGGGGAGCAAACCGG